rnacentral:rRNA from 1 species
AGCGAACGCUGGUGGCAGGCUUAACACAUGCCAGUCGAGCGGGCAUCUUCGGAUGUCAGCGGCAGACGGGUGAGUAACACGUGGGAACGUACCCUUCGGUUCGGAACAACUCUGGGAAACUGGAGCUAAUACCGGAUACGCCCUUAUGGGGAAAGGUUUACUGCCGAAGGAUCGGCCCGCGUCUGAUUAGCUAGUUGGUGGGGUAACGGCCUACCAAGGCGACGAUCAGUAGCUGGUCUGAGAGGAUGAUCAGCCACACUGGGACUGAGACACGGCCCAGACUCCUACGGGAGGCAGCAGUGGGGAAUAUUGGACAAUGGGCGCAAGCCUGAUCCAGCCAUGCCGCGUGAGUGAUGAAGGCCUUAGGGUUGUAAAGCUCUUUUGUCCGGGACGAUAAUGACGGUACCGGAAGAAUAAGCCCCGGCUAACUUCGUG